AAAAAAUGCAACAAAACAAAUGGAAAUGAGGGAACGUUAGACAUAACCCCCGCAGCCAAGAUACCCCCAUUUUAAGCUCUCCCAAAAUCCCUCCCUCCCGAUCGACAUCACACCCACCAUCCCCUCCGAUGCUGCCACACCUCCGGUCACUAUACAAACAUCGGAAAACACAUGUGAACGGCAACACACUCAUUUCCCCCAAUUUGAGGUCUGCCAAAAUCCCUCUCACAGUAUACGACACACCCACUAUCCCCUUUGGCGUCGCCGCACCUCCGGUCAGAAUAUAAACACCAGCGACCAUUUUUCCACUUAUUGCGGUUGAAGCCUCGAGAAAUGGGAGCUUGGUGGGGUUGAUUUCGACUUUCUGCUCCAAGGAUAAUAGCUCUGUUGUUCGGGUAUUUGCUUGCAACCUCCAGCGACAAUCUUGGCUAUCCUAGAGUGGAAGAGAAUAUGGAAUACGUGAAUGAUGACCUGUUGGUGGAGUCCAAUAAUGAGAACGUUGCGGAUUAUAUGAACAGGGAUGAAGAAGAAACAUUAAGACAAAAUGAUCCGAUUGUGCCAAAGGUCAGUAUGAUGUUCAACAACGAAAAAGAAAUGUUUGAGAUGUACAAGAGAUAUGCUUAUCAUAUAGGUUUUUCCCUUAGAAAACAAAACUCAAAAAAGGGGGAUGAUGGCGUUUUGAGAUAUGUAACGUUCACAUGCAGUCGUGAAGGCAGAAGAAGUAGUAAUGCAAGUGGGCUUUUGAAACCUAAACCAAUCAGUCAGACUGGCUGUAAAGUAAGGAUCUCAGCUUCUUCAGAUAGCCAUGGAAUGUGGAGAAUUAACACAGUCCACCUUGAUCACAACCAUGAGACUAGUCCUUCCAAAUCUAGGUUGUAUCGAUGCAAUAGGGAGUUGAGUGCAAAUGUGAAACAUAAACUUGAAGUAAAUGAUAUGACAGGAAUUUCAUUACAUAAAAGUUACAACUCCGCAGUUGCGAAAGUAGGUGGAUAUGAGAAUAUGACUUGUAUAGAGAAGGACUGUGGAAGCUAUAUUGAACAAGUUCGAUGAUUAAGACUUGGAGAGGUACAGUCCUACUUUUCGAAAAUGUGAGUAUGGUGCUUGGGUUUUUACUUUAGCAUUGACUUAGAUGAUGACUCUCGACUAAAGAAUGUCUUUUGGACAGAUAAUAGGUGUAGGUAAGUGUAUAAAGAGUUCGAUGGUGUUGUCACAUUUGAUACCACCUACCUCACUAACAAGUAUGACAUGCCGUUUCCUCCUUUCGUUGGAGUGAAUCAUCAUAGACAAUCAACAUUAUUUGGUUGUGGUUUGUUAGCUAAUGAGAACACGGAUACGUUUGUCUCGCUAUUUAGGACAUGGCUUGAGUACAUGCAUGGACAAGCUCCGAAUGCAAUAAUUAUUGAUCAAGAUCGAGCAAUGCAAAACGCAAUUGGGAUUGUUUUCCCAUGUACGAGACAUAGAUGGUGUUUGUGGUAUAUUUUGAAGAAGUUGCCAAAGAAGUUUAUCUAUCAUGUCGAUAAGGGCUUGAUAUUUUCAGCAUUACAUAAUUUGGUUUAUGAUUCACAAACUGUUAAAGAAUUUGAAGAAGGUUGAAACAGAUGAUCGAUACAUAUGACUUGCAUGAGAAUAAUUGGUUGUUAGGAUUGUGUGAUAAUAGAGGUCGUUGGGUUCCUUACUUCUUAAGAACCACAUUCUGGGCAGGGAUGUCCACAACUCAAUGAAGUCAGAGUAUAAAUGCGUUCUUCAUUGGAUAUGUGCAUUCGAAAAUCUCAUUGAAGCAAUUUGUAGAGUAGUACGAAAGAGCACUGAGGAGUAAGGUAGAGUAGGAGUUUCAGGCUGAUUUCAGGUCAUACUAACAAAUGGUGCCAUUUGCAACGAAUUACGAAAUUGAGAAGCAUUUUCAGUCAGUUUAUACCAUUUAGAAGUUCAAAGAAGUAUAAAUGAGUUCAAGGGAAAGGUUUAUUACGACCUUAUUUCUGCUUCUGAAGGAUGUUUGGUGACGACAUAUGAGGUGCGUGAGAAUGUGAUGUAUUAUGGGCAACGAAAGAAAAAAACAUUUUCUAUCUUAUUUAAUAUGGAGCAUGUGAGAUAAUUGCCGUUGCCACUCAUUCGAGUUCAGGGGAAUCAUUUUUAGACAUGCAAUUACAAUAUUGAUUCGAAACAACGUCACACGACUGCCCGAGAAGUACACGCUACGGAGAUGGAAGAGAGAUGUCAGUAGAGCACACACGAGGAUUGCAGUGAACUACGAUGGUCUAGUCAGUACUCUUGGACAAUUGAGAUAUGACAAGAUGUGUAAGGCUUUUUUGCAUGUGAUCGACCUCGCUGUAGAUGACGAAAUCCAGACACGUGUUAUAAUGGACUGGAUAAAAUUUCAAGCUACAGAGCUUAUGUCAACGAAAUUGUGUAUUGGAAAUAGUAUCAUUUCGCAGCAUACUCUUCAUUUUAGUCUCGCAAUGUACUAAUUCGCAAACUACCGGUAGCGGGAGCAUACGGGAUCCUAAAUUAACAAAGCGGAAGGCACACCACGGAGACUUCGGAGGAAAAGUCCAUUGGAGCCUACGUCAAAGAAAUCAAGAGUGAUGUACUUUGCUAGCGUCUCAUUUGUAGUACAAUCUUUUCUCAUGUAUUUCGGGUGUACAUGCACGCGACAUCAUGUAAAGGAAAGAGACCAAGAGUUAGACAAAGUAAUGUAAAAGAGGCAGUUCCUGAUUUUGCGACCUCUGAACAACAAUAUUCCACUCAGACACCUUUCUUAUAUUAACAACUCUUAUUAGUUAGUACUUUGUGGUUCUCGUGAUUAUUAGGUUGCUUUUUUAUUCACGUUAUUGUGUGAUGCAGGGCAACACCGAACGUCAAGUAUUUACACAAGAUUUGCGAUCAUCGAAUUUUAUCCCGCCAUCAUCAAUGAAUGUUGAAUUCAAUGCCAAAGGGAUGUACAAUUUGUAUCACAUGAUUCGGAUUGGAUUCUUAAGUACUAAAUUUGACUACUUUUGUUACAGAAGUACAAGAAAGCAGAGAGUUGCCCUGGAUAUGCAUAUAAAACAUAGUGAAUUCAAAUGUAGAAGUCUCCCCUUGAUAAUCGGACUCUCAUUUUGGACCUGGCCUAUUCAUGUUAGUCCAUUGCCCAUUGCAUUUUUGAAGUAGUGUGGGGAAGCACAUGACUUCCCAAGAUUCCUUAUAUUUUUGAAGCAUGUAGGAUAAAGACGAGGUGAUUUUUUCUCUACGCUUGUGGUUUACUCUAAUUCGAUCGAGGUAGUGUAGGGAUGUAUAUAUUGGUCAGAUAUCAUAUUUUGAAUAGGAAAAUGUGUUCUUCGCUGCUUGUUUUUGGAGUCCAACAUUGAUGAACAUAUCAAUUCGAGUUGCUGCUCUAAACCAGUAGGACUUGAGUACCUAUUUAUCCAGUUUCUCAUUUGUAUGCUUAUUGUAUUGUAUAUGUUGUUUUUGGAGUUUCUUGGUAUAAAUUAAAUACAACUUGUGUACUUAAA